UUAGGUAGUUGGUGGGGUAACGGCCUACCAAGCCGAUGAUCCGUAGGGGGCGUGAGAGCGUGGCCCCCCACACUGGCACUGAGACACGGGCCAGACUCCUACGGGAGGCAGCAGUGAGGAAUAUUGCACAAUGGGCGCAAGCCUGAUGCAGCAACGCCGCGUGAGGGACGAAGGCCUUCGGGUCGUAAACCUCUUUUCUGGGGGACGAGUAAGGACGGUACCUCAGGAAUAAGUCUCGGCUAACUACGUGCCAGCAGCCGCGGUAAAACGUAGGAGGCGAGCGUUAUCCGGAUUUACUGGGCGUAAAGCGUACGCAGGUGGCUUCGUGAGUCGGACAUGAAAGCUCCCGGCUUAACUGGGAGAGGUUGUUCGAUACUGCGAGGCUUGAGGUUGGGAGAGGGACGUGGAAUUCCCGGUGUAGUGGUGGAAUGCGUAGAUAUCGGGAGGAACACCAGUGGCGCAAGCGGCGUCCUGGCCCACACCUGACGCUGAGGUACGAAAGCGUGGGUAGCAAACAGGAUUAGAUACCCUGGUAGUCCACGCUGUAAACGAUGUCAACUGGGUGUCGGUAGUUUUACACUAUCGG
rnacentral:rRNA from 1 species